GACGUAGGGGGCAAGCGUUGUCCGGAUUUAUUGGGCGUAAAGAGCUCGUAGGCGGCUCAGAAAGUCGGGUGUGAAACCUCCAGGCUCAACCUGGAGACGCCACCUGAUACUGCUGUGGCUAGAGUCCGGUAGGGGAGCAUGGAAUUCCUGGUGUAGCGGUGAAAUGCGCAGAUAUCAGGAGGAACACCAGUGGCGAAGGCGGUGCUCUGGGCCGGAACUGACGCUGAGGAGCGAAAGCGUGGGGAGCAAACAGG
rnacentral:rRNA from 1 species